rnacentral:rRNA from 1 species
AGGACGAACGCUGGCGGCGUGCCUAAUACAUGCAAGUCGAACGGCUUUUCUAUGGAAGCUUGCUUCCACUGAGAAGAUAGUGGCGAACGGGUGAGUAACACGUGGGUAACCUGCCCAUAAGAGGGGGAUAACAUCCGGAAACGGGUGCUAAUACCGCAUAGUUUUCUUGAUCGCAUGAUCGGGAAAGGAAAGACGGCCUUUGUGCUGUCGCUUAUGGAUGGACCCGCGGCGUAUUAGUUAGUUGGUGAGGUAACGGCUCACCAAGACGAUGAUACGUAGCCGACCUGAGAGGGUGAUCGGCCACAUUGGGACUGAGACACGGCCCAAACUCCUACGGGAGGCAGCAGUAGGGAAUCUUCCGCAAUGGACGAAAGUCUGACGGAGCAACGCCGCGUGAGUGAAGAAAAGGUUUUCGGAUCGUAAAACUCUGUUGUCAGAGAAGAACAAGUUGGAGAGUAACUGCUCCAGCCUUGACGGUAUCUGACCAGAAAGCCACGGCUAACUACGUGCCAGCCGCUGC